GUAAGCGCACCGCAAGGCUGGUCUUGUCAAGUCUGAUGUGAAAUCCCCGGGCUCAACCUGGGAACUGCAUUCGAAACUGGCAAGGACUAGAGUCUUGAAGAGGGGGGUAGAAUUCCAGGUGUAGCGGUGAAAUGCGUAGAGAUCUGGAGGAAUACCGGUGGCGAAGGCGACCCCCUGGACUAAAACUGACGCUCAGGUGCGAAAGCGUGGGGAGCAAACAGGAUUAGAUACCCUGGUAGUCCACGCCGUAAACGAUGUCGAUUUGGAGGUUGGGCCCUUGAGGCGCGGAUUCCGGAGCUAACGCGUUAAAUCAACCGCCUGGGGAAUACGGGCGCAAGGAUAAAACUCAAAUGAAUUGACGGGGGCCCCCACCAGCGGGGGAACAUGGGGUUUAAUUCCAUGCAACGCGAAAAACCUUACCUGGGCUUGACAUCCCCAGAACUUACUGGAGAUGGUUUGGUGCCUUCGGGAACUGUGAGACAAGUGCUGCAUGGCUGUCGUCAGCUCGUGUUGUGAAAUGAUGGGUUAAGUCCCGCAACA
rnacentral:rRNA from 1 species